GAGUUUGAUCCUGGCUCAGGAUGAACGCUGGCGGCGUGCCUAAUACAUGCAAGUCGAGCGAACGGACGAGAAGCUUGCUUCUCUGAUGUUAGCGGCGGACGGGUGAGUAACACGUGGAUAACCUACCUAUAAGACUGGGAUAACUUCGGGAAACCGGAGCUAAUACCGGGAUAAUAUUUUGAACCGCAUGGUUCAAAAGUAAAAGACGGUCUUGCUGUCACUUAUAGAUGGAUCCGCGCUGCAUUAGCUAGUUGGUAGGUAACGGCUUACCAAGGCACGAUGCAUAGCCGACCUGAGAGGGUGAUCGGCCACACUGGAACUGAGACACGGUCCAGACUCCUACGGGAGGCAGCAGUAGGGAUCUUACCGCAAUGGGCGAAAGCCUGACGGAGCAACGCCGCGUGAGUGAUGAAGGUCUUCGGGUCGUAAAACUCU
rnacentral:rRNA from 1 species